rnacentral:pre_miRNA from 1 species
AAAAAGACAAACCCUAGUUUCCGUGUCCAACGUUUGACCAUUCGUCUUAUUUGAAAAAAUUAUAAAAAAAAUUAAAAAGACAAGUCACGCAUAAAAUAUUAAUCAUGUUUUAUCAUCUAACAACAAUGAAAAUAUGAAUUAUAAAAAAAUUUCAUAUAAGAUGGACAGUCAAAGUUGGACACGAAAACCCAGGGUUUGCCUUUUU